UCAAUUUUCCUGCUGGUGUAAAUAAACGGGUGACUGUUUCGAAAAGCAAUUAGUUAGUGAGAAAAGCAGAGCCGGGUUAGUCAGCGUGAUUAAAUGUGAUCAUGUUAAUCCAACUGUAUCUAGAACUGGAUGAAAUCUGUGCUAUUUUAGCAAGGCGGCAUCACGGAUAAACAAAUUUCUGGUCUAACGCAAACGUGGCAUUAUACGUGACACAAGGUCAUCUCUGCUGUGCUAAUAACGCUCCACUUCUCUGCUCUGUAGCAGGACUCUAUUUAUAAAAUCAUAUUAAUUAGCCAGUAUUUUUAAGUCUUUGCAUCUGAGUAAUUUCCUGACACUCGAGGUCUCUUUCCUGUCACUCAUUAGCCUUUAUUAUGCGACUCGAUUUUUUUUCUUUGCAAGCCCCUCAUCCGCUGAAGCACGGUCGCUCGUGGACCACCAGCUGGAGGCACUUAAGUCUCCACAGUUUAGAUGUCUCGUGUCCAUGGGAAUCCGCAUCAUUAGCCCAAUUCAAGUCCUACAGAAUGGCACAGAACCUCUUUGACAUUCACAUACAAAUCCUCUCGGCACAGGCAUCAGAUUUGUUUUGAACUUGGCAGCCUCCUCGACCUCCAGGUAACGUCAUGCUACCGAAUCAGUCGGGCAAUUUGAGCGACUUUCAUUGAGAUUGGCGGAAGAGGCAGGGGAUAAACACGAGCACACCCACACGCGACAACGACAUGGAAUGCAGCAGCUGAAAUUUGCAUGCCGCUCGUGGCUGGCAACCAAGCAGAACCGUGCAGAGAACAACACCUUUGAUCCCGGCCAUAUGGAGCUCCUCCAAGCAUGCCUGGGAUAGAGAAAUCCGUCACCUCCACGCUGGGUGUAAAGGUGCAUAAAGAAUUUGGGAUGUCAGCAUGGGAAUCACGCUCCAUGAGCUGAUAUAUGGGUGAAACAGCAAAGAGACAGGGAUUAAAGUACAACACGGUUAAUGCCUUAAUUCAUAUUGUCAGUGUAUCGUCAGGAGCAAAGGAUUAGGAGCCCGGGGGAGACGCAAGGAGAGAUGAGACACUGGCAAAGGGAGGACAGCUCAUUUUUACACAGGCAGAGAGGGAGGACAGCUCAUCUUUGAUCCGGCAGGGGCUUCGCAGGCCAGAGGGGGUGCUGUAAUUGUAAUUAAGUGGCUGGAUGACAGGAUAAGGAGAUAAGGUCCGAUUUGGCACAGUCUUCCAUCGCAGGCGCCUCAGUGGCCGACGUGCAGAUCCCACAUCAAAGUGAGAGUGGAAAAAGUCUUGCGGGGAUGACCUGUUACACCAAACAACAAAUAAAAGACACAAGACAGACAAAAAGAGGGAAUUGAUCGCGCCCCACGUUCAGUAGGUGGCAUCAGGCCGACAGCAACGCUGUGAGCGAGACGUUCCUUUCGAGUUGUGUCUGUCUCAGCACCUUUGCCACCCAAAGCUCGGAGACGGUUUUAAUUGCAACACGACAACCACAAGAAACACACAAAAUCCUCAUAAAACUAUAGGAGCUGGCAGCGUUCCCAAUGAGGGCAGCAAAUCGGGGCGUAAUUACAGGUGACAUUCUGCUGAGUUUAGAGAAGUCGAUUCGUGUCGACUCCACCCUGAGCCGUUCUUCUCCAGGACAUCUUCGCCUACAGGGCUACACGAGAGCCAGCGCAGUGUGUGGGAAAGCGUCCCUCCCUGCCCGUUCUCCAACAUGCCUCACAGCUAUUUCCACAGUUUGCAUAAUAACUGGCUACGUGGGGAUCUCUCUAGAAAGCGUAUCUUGGUAAGCGGAGCGGUGGAAGUUCUCUGGAGACGGGAUUCCACCAGGAGAUGGGAAAUCACAAAAUAACACUAAAAAAAGAACAAAACACUGGAGUCUUGCUGUUUGGGAAGUUUUCAAACGGAGGCUCACACAACUGCAUUUCAAUAAUCAAGGGAUUGAUAUGUGAAUGUGAAAUUAUUUAAUUAGUCCCUAUGAGUAAUAUUAUUUGCUUCUUUUGUGCAAACCAUUUUAGUUGAAAGCCUACAUUUCUUUUUUUACUUGUAUUUGUUUUGCUAUUCUUCAAAGCAAUAUCAACUAACACCCUGAAAAUCUGAAAGUCACAGCCUGUACUUAUUCAACUAGUCCAAUGUGAUUGUUAACAUGCUGUUUUUUAAGCACUCUUAAAAAUUAAAGGUUCUUUGUUGGUCUAUUGUGGUUCCAUAAAGAACCUUUAACUUUCACAGAACCUUUCAGUUACACAAGAUAAGAAAGUAAUUAUUAUUUUUGGAACAUUUGACUACAAGAUUUUUUGAGGAAUCAAAAAUGGUUCUUCUAUACCAUCACUACCACAUAUAUUUUCAAGAGUGUUGGAUAAACAAGGGUGGCGCAGUUGCCAGUUCUCUGUCAAUUAAAGUAACCUUAACAGAAAUAGCUGUAAGCAAGUUGUUUAAACAAACUUUGAAUGUCCCUGCAGCUGAUGUACCAUAAUUUGCUUUGGAAGAAAAUUAUCAGGUAGAUUUGCAAGGUCAAACGCAUUUAUUAUUGGUUGGUCUAUAAGGCUAUGUUUACAUUAGUGCGCUUUCAUUUAAAAAUGCUUCACUUUUGCUAUGGUUAGCCUACGCCUGCUGUCCACAACAACUACUCCAGAGAUUUCGACCCUCAUAAACGGACACUUUUGGAAACGCGUCAGACCCACUCUGGGUUUGCGUCUCAUUGUAUAAUGUAAAAAAUGAAAGUUGGAUCUACUUAAAGGAUUACUCCACUUUCAUAAAAAAACAGAUAAUUUAGGCUAUGUUUACAUUAAUGCGUUUAUCCUUUAAAACGUGUUACUUUUGCUACGUUUAGGCCUUUCAUUUACACUACACCACCGUUUUCGACCCUCAUAAACGGAUUCGUUCGCAAACGCUGCAGACCCUGUUUUAGUUUGAGAACUCAGACGUUGCGCUGAGUGUAAAUGAACGUAGACGGAGUCUUAUGUAAACGAACAGCUGAUGUUAACGUGACAGCGCAUAAUUUUCAAAGUAAAAAUAUUUUUAUUCAGGUAAAUGGAGGUUUGCAACAGAGGUUUUGCCAAAAAUAGUAAACAUCUACCAACCAGCUAUUAUAAACACUAUAUCAGAUUGUUUUAACAUGUAUCCUUAUAGAUAAUGUCUGUUUUAUAUUUAUGUUUGAGUAUUGUUAGGUUUGAAUAUUGUUGUAAUGUUGUUGUUGUUUUGUUUAAAUUUAGUUAGCUUAUUACGAAAGAUAGACUGUAAUUUUAAACGCCAUAUAGGGUGUUGUAAAGGCCAAUAUGAAGGGAGAAUUGUAAUGGGUCAGACAUUAUUUUCGAGUUUAAUUUAAGUUUUGUUUGCUACUUUAAAAUGAAUUUCGUUUCAUAUAAUUUGUCUCUUAAUUUUAAUCGAUGUUUUGUUGAUAAGUUUUGUGAAUAUAAAUUAAAAACAAUAAAAUCAACGUCAUAUUAACAUUUAAUGCUCCUUUAGCCGAUUGCGCUUUUUGCUAUUUCUGUGUUGCUAGCGGAGGACGUGCACGGACCUUGCAUACUUUGCAAAAUUAACGUCAUAUUAAUUUUUAUUAAUUAAUUGCACACUGAACAGCGACAGAUAAGGGAAGAUAAGUUAU